rnacentral:rRNA from 1 species
CGUGGGUAACCUGCCCAAGAGAUCGGGAUAACACCUGGAAACAGAUGCUAAUACCGGAUAACAACAGAUGAUGCCAAUCAACUGUUUAAAAGAUGGUUCUGCUAUCACUCUUGGAUGGACCUGCGGUGCAUUAGCUAGUUGGUAGGGUAACGGCCUACCAAGGCGAUGAUGCAUAGCCGAGUUGAGAGACUUAUCGGCCACAUUGGGACUGAGACACGGCCCAAACUCCUACGGGAGGCAGCAGCC